rnacentral:rRNA from 1 species
UACGGAGGGAGCUAGCGUUAUUCGGAAGUACUGGGCGUAAAGCGCACGUAGGUGGCUUUGUAAGUUAGAGGUGAAAGCCUGGAGCUCAACUCCAGAACUGCCUUUAAGACUGCAUCGCUUGAAUCCAGGAGAGGUGAGUGGAAUUCCGAGUGUAGAGGUGAAAUUCGUAGAUAUUCGGAAGAACACCAGUGGCGAAGGCGGCUCACUGGACUGGUAUUGACGCUGAAGUGCGAAAGCGUGGGGAGCAAACAGG